rnacentral:rRNA from 1 species
AUGAACGCUGGCGGCGUGCCUAAUACAUGCCAGUCGCGCGAACAGACGAGGAGCUUGCUCCUCUGACGUUAGCGGCGGACGGGUGAGUAACACGUGGAUAACCUACCUAUAAGACUGGGAUAACUUCGGGAAACCGGAGCUAAUACCGGAUAAUAUAUUGAACCGCCUGGUUCAAUAGUGAAAGACGGUUUUGCUGUCACUUAUAGAUGGAUCCGCGCCGCAUUAGCUAGUUGGUAAGGUAACGGCUUACCAAGGCAACGAUGCGUAGCCGACCUGAGAGGGUGAUCGGCCACACUGGAACUGAGACACGGUCCAGACUCCUACGGGAGGCAGCAGUAGGGAAUCUUCCGCAAUGGGCGAAAGCUUGACGGAGCAACGCUGCGUGAGUGAUGAAGGUCUUCGGAUCGUAAAACUCUGUUAUUAGGGAAGAACAAAUGUGUAAGUAACUAUGCACGUCUUGACGGUACCUAAUCAGAAAGCCACGGCUAACUACGUG